GCCGGAGGAUGCAAGUGUUAUCCGGAAUCACUGGGCGUAAAGCGUCUGUAGGUGGUUUAAUAAGUCAACUGUUAAAUCUUGAGGCUCAACCUCAAAAUCGCAGUCGAAACUAUUAGGCUAGAGUAUAGUAGGGGUAAAGGGAAUUUCCAGUGGAGCGGUGAAAUGCGUAGAGAUUGGAAAGAACACCGAUGGCGAAGGCACUUUACUGGGCUAUUACUAACACUCAGAGACGAAAGCUAGGGUAGCAAAUGGG
rnacentral:rRNA from 1 species